UACAGAGGUCCCAAGCGUUGUUCGGAAUCACUGGGCGUAAAGGGCGCGCAGGCUGUUAUGCGAGUCUGCUGUGAAAUGUACCGGCUCAACCGGUGCCUUGCGGCGGAUACUGCAUAGCUUGAGGGCAGGAGAGGGAAGUGGAAUUCCCGGUGUAGCGGUAAUAUGCGCAGAUAUCGGGAGGAACACCAGUGGCGAAGGCGGCUUCCUGGCCUGUUCCUGACGCUGAGACGCGAAAGCCAGGGUAGCGAACGGGAUUA
rnacentral:rRNA from 1 species